GACGGGGGGGGGCUAGCGUUGUUCGGAAUUACUGGGCGUAAAGGGCGCGUAGGCGGUCCGCUAAGUUGGAUGUGAAAACUCUGGGCUUAACCCAGAGCCUGCAUUCAAUACUGACAGGCUAGAGUUCUGGAGGGGAUAGCGGAAUUCCUGGUGUAGCGGUGAAAUGCGUAGAUAUCAGGAGGAACACCGGUGGCGAAGGCGGCUAUCUGGACAGAGUCUGACGCUGAGGCGCGAAAGCUAGGGGAGCAAACAGG
rnacentral:rRNA from 1 species